rnacentral:lncRNA from 1 species
CAUCUUUUAAAUUAUCUUCUAUAAUUUAUGAUCCUACACCUGUCUUAUCUCUUAUCUAUGAAUAAAAAAAUUAUUUUUGUUUCAUUAAUUCAAAAAUAAUUUCUCAACAUUUCUUUCUUUAUUCUUGAAGUUUAUAAUCUAUAAUUAUUUUGGUAAAAUCAAUAACAAUAUAUAAAAGUUAUCCUUAAAUUUCAAUUUGCUUCAAUCCACUGUUAAAUCAUUAUUUUUUUAUUCAUUUAGAUGAAAUUUAUAUUUUUUCUUUUAUUUUUGUUGAAUCUCAAAUUCCAUUAAAUUUAUUAUUGUUGGAUAGUUAAGGCUUUAGGGUUUUUUAACUCUUCAAAUUAAAUUUCAACUUUGGGCUAUGUUAUCGAUAAAAUGGGAAUAUAUAGACAUUAUGAAAGAAAUUAUUGGAGUUAGCUCCAAAAUUAGAAUGAGGAAAAGAUCGAUGAAAUAGGUAACUCAUUUACUUUGUAUUUAUAACUUUGCAUAAUGAAUUGCAUCGAUAUCUUUGUCUGUAAUCGAAUACUCCUUUUCCACGUCACUAAUUGAUGAAGGCUAAAAGAGUAAAUUAACUACUGCAAUCAACUACAAUGUAAGACAUUUGAGAAACCACCAACUCUUAAAAGUCAAAAUAAAGCUAGGACGUGACUAAGCAACUCCAAAAAUAUAAAUAAUUAAUAAUUGUUUAAUAUUUAAAAUAAUCAUUUUGUCAUAAAGAAUUUCAAAAAAAAAAA